UUGGAGGGCAAGUCUGGUGCCAGCAGCCGCGGUAAUUCCAGCUCCAAUAGCGUAUAUUAAAGUUGUUGCAGUUAAAAAGCUCGUAGUUGAAUUUCGGGGUCAGUAGAUUGGUCGUGCCACUGGUACGUACUGGUCUUACUGGUUCCUCCCUCCUGAUGAACUGUAAUGCCAUUAAUUUGGUGUUGCAGGGAAUCUGGACUGUUACUUUGAAAAAAUUAGAGUGUUUAAAGCAGGCUAACGCUUGAAUACAUUAGCAUGGAAUAAUGAAAUAGGACGCUCGAUCCUAUUUUGUUGGUUUCUAGGAUUGACGUAAUGAUUAAUAGGGAUAGUUGGGGGCAUUAGUAUUCAAUUGUCAGAGGUGAAAUUCUUGGAUUUAUUGAAGACUAACUACUGCGAAAGCAUUUGCCAAGGAUGUUUUCAUUAAUCAAGAACGAAAGUUAGGGGAUCGAAGACGAUCAGAUACCGUCGUAGUCUUAACCAUAAACUAUGCCGACUAGGGAUCGGAUGAUGUUAAUUUUUUAAUGACUCAUUCGGCACCUUACGGGAAAC
rnacentral:rRNA from 1 species